rnacentral:rRNA from 1 species
GUUGUAUAGUCAAGUAAUGAAGUGCACAUGGUGGAUGCCUUGGCAGUCAGAGGCGAUGAAAGACGUGACAGCCUGCGAAAAGCGUCGGGGAGGCGGCAAUAUCCUGUGAUCCGGCGAUAUCUGAAUGGGGAAACCCACUUGUCAUAAGACAGGUACCCCGCUAUAUUUUAUAGCGGGGGGCAAACCGGGAGAAGUGAAACAUCUCAGUAACCCGAGGAAAAGACAUCAAUAGAGAUUCCCCUAGUAGCGGCGAGCGAACGGGGAGGAGCCGACUGAUUAUAAUUUAGAGGAAUGACUUGGAAAGGUCAAUCGUAGAGGGUGAUAAUCCCGUACUCGAAAGGUUAUAAGAAGCAUAUUAAGUAGGGCGGAACACGAGAAAUUCUGUCUGAAGAUGGGGGGACCAUCCUCCAAGGCUAAAUACUCCUGACUGACCGAUAGUGAACCAGUACCGUGAGGGAAAGGCGAAAAGAACCCCUGUGAGGGGAGUGAAAUAGAACCUGAAACCGUGUGCAUACAAGCAGUCGGAGCCCCGCUACUUAAUUAUUUUGGAAUGAUAAUGUUCUACGUAUAUAUACUCAAAGGUGAAGAUGGUUCGCAUUAUUGUGGAUACACAUCAGACCUAAGACAACGAUUUGCCGCCCAUAACAGUGGUGGAAACAAAUCGACCAGUUACCAGCAAUGGCAACUACUAUACUAUGAAGCAUAUCAAACAAAACAAUUAGCAAUGAGAAGAGAGCAAACGCUCAAACAUCAUGGCAAAGUUUACCAGUCCUUAAUCAAGCGACUGGCAGAAUAAUUAAGUAGCGGGGUGACGGCGUACCUUUUGUAUAAUGGGUCAGCGACUUAUAUUCUGUAGCAAGGUUAACCGAAUAGGGGAGCCGUAGGGAAACCGAGUCUUAAUAGGGCGUCUAGUUGCAGGGUAUAGACCCGAAACCGAGUGAUCUAUCCAUGAGCAGGUUGAAAGUGACGUAACAGUUACCGGAGGACCGAACCCACUGUCGUUGAAAAGCCAGGGGAUGACUUGUGGAUAGGGGUGAAAGGCUAAUCAAACUCGGUGAUAGCUGGUUCUCCCCGAAAGCUAUUUAGGUAGCGCCUCGGACGAACACCAUUGGGGGUAGAGCACUGUUUCGGCUAGGGGGUCAUCCCGACUUACCAAACCGAUGCAAACUCCGAAUACCGAUGAGUGAUAUCCGGGAGACAGACGGCGGGUGCUAACGUCCGUCGUCAAGAGGGAAACAACCCAGACCGCCAGCUAAGGCCCCAAAUUCCUAGUUAAGUGGGAAACGAUGUGGGAAGGCACAGACAGCUAGGAGGUUGGCUUAGAAGCAGCCACCCUUUAAAGAAAGCGUAAUAGCUCACUAGUCGAGUCGGCCUGCGCGGAAGAUGUAACGGGGCUCAAACUAGGAGCCGAAGCUGCGGAUUUAAUUGUUUCAAUUAAGUGGUAGGGGAGCAUUGUGUAAGCCUGUGAAGGUGUGUUGUAAAGCAUGCUGGAGGUAUCACAAGAGCGAAUGCUGACGUGAGUAACGACAAUGCGAGUGAAAAGCUCGCACGCCGGAAGACCAAGGGUUCCAGUCCAACGUUAAUCGGGGCUGGGUGAGUCGACCCCUAAGGCGAGGCCGAAAGGCGUAGUCGAUGGGAAAUCGGUUAAUAUUCCGAUACUUGUUUAUGAUGCGAUGGAGGGACGGAGAAGGUUAUGCCAGCUUGGCGAUGGUUGUCCAAGUGGAAGGAUGUAGUUAGGUUUAGUAGGCAAAUCCGCUAGACUAUUAAUGAGAUCUGAUAGCAAGCUGUACUUGUACAGCGAAGUGGCAAAUACCCUGCUUCCAGGAAAAGCUUCUAAGCGAUAGUCAUAAACAAAUCGUACCCGAAACCGACACAGGUGGUCAGGUAGAGAAUACCAAGGCGCUUGAGAGAACUCUGCUGAAGGAACUAGGCAAAAUGGUACCGUAACUUCGGGAGAAGGUACGCUGCCGAUGGUGAGUAGUCACGCACUACAAAGCUAUUGGCAGUCGCAGAUACCAGGCCGCUGCAACUGUUUAUUAAAAACACAGCACUCUGCAAACACGAAAGUGGACGUAUAGGGUGUGAUGCCUGCCCGGUGCUGGAAGGUUAAUUGAUGGGGUCAGCCGCAAGGCGAAGCUCUUGAUCGAAGCCCCAGUAAACGGCGGCCGUAACUAUAACGGUCCUAAGGUAGCGAAAUUCCUUGUCGGGUAAGUUCCGACCUGCACGAAUGGCAUAAUGAUGGCGGCGCUGUCUCCAGCAGAGACUCAGUGAAAUCGAAAUCGCAGUGAAGAUGCUGUGUACCCGCGGCUAGACGGAAAGACCCCGUGAACCUUUACUACAGCUUUACAUUGAACUUUGACCUUACCUGUGUAGGAUAGGUGGGAGGCUUUGAAGCAGGCACGCCAGUGUCUGUGGAGCCAUCCUUGAAAUACCACCCUGGUAAUGUUGGGGUUCUAACUCAAGCUUAACAGAGCUGAGGACAAUGUAUGGUGGGUAGUUUGACUGGGGCGGUCUCCUCCUAAAGAGUAACGGAGGAGUACGAAGGUGCGCUCAGAACGGUCGGAAAUCGUUCGAAGAGUAUAAAGGCAAAAGCGCGCUUAACUGCGAGACCCACAAGUCGAGCAGAUACGAAAGUAGGUCUUAGUGAUCCGGUGGUUCUGUAUGGAAGGGCCAUCGCUCAACGGAUAAAAGGUACUCUGGGGAUAACAGGCUGAUACCGCCCAAGAGUUCAUAUCGACGGCGGUGUUUGGCACCUCGAUGUCGGCUCAUCUCAUCCUGGGGCUGAAGCAGGUCCCAAGGGUAUGGCUGUUCGCCAUUUAAAGAGGUACGCGAGCUGGGUUUAGAACGUCGUGAGACAGUUCGGUCCCUAUCUACCGUGGGCGUUGGAAAUUUGAGAGGAUCUGCUCCUAGUACGAGAGGACCAGAGUGGACGAACCUCUGGUGUUUCGGUUGUCACGCCAGUGGCAUUGCCGAGUAGCUAUGUUCGGAUGGGAUAACCGCUGAAAGCAUCUAAGCGGGAAGCCCACCUUAAGAUUAGAUUUCCCUAAAGAGCCGUUGUAGACUACGACGUUGAUAGGUUGGGUGUGGAAGCAUAGUGAUAUGUGUAGCUAACCAAUACUAAUUGCUCGUUUGGCUUGACUAUACAACGCCUAA